GAGUUUGAUCGUGGCUCAGAUUGAACGCUGGCGGCAGGCUUAACACAUGCAAGUCGAGCGGAGAUGAGGUGCUUGCACCUUAUCUUAGCGGCGGACGGGUGAGUAAUGCUUAGGAAUCUGCCUAUUAGUGGGGACAACAUUCCGAAAGGGAUGCUAAUACCGCAUACGUCCUACGGGAGAAGCAGGGGAUCUUCGGACCUUGCGCUAAUAGAUGAGCCUAAGUCGGAUUAGCUAGUUGGUGGGUAAAGGCCUACCAAGGCGACGAUCUGUAGCGGGUCUGAGAGGAUGAUCCGCCACACUGGGACUGAGACACGGCCCAGACUCCUACGGGAGGCAGCAG
rnacentral:rRNA from 1 species